rnacentral:misc_RNA from 1 species
UAAAGUCAAUUGUCUAGGGGCUUUAUUUGCUUCUUUAACUAUAGAAGUAUUCUCCCUGAUCCCAAUCGCUGUUCCCUUCCCAGCUGUUGGUGAUUUUGUCUUGAAUGCCUGCCAUGCCUGGACGCCGUAUUUGCCAGCAUGAGAGGCAGCAGCCACUGCAUUUGCCGCCAUUAAUAGUGCAACCCAGUGAGAUCGGGAGAGACCCUUCCUGUUGAGUUAGUGCAGUUCAGUGGCAGAAUCGAUAGGGAUAUUCUCCGUCGCAUGCAGAAGAAGUGGAAAAAUGUGAUGAUAGAAAGAGAAAUAGACAGAGAUUGGGAAAGCAGUCAAUGUUGACGGUGAGGAACGUAAUAAUGGUGACGGCCGCGGCUAUCGGAGAAGGGAAUUUUAUGUAGCGUAGCAGUUGUGGAGGGUUAAAAUGGAUAUGGCGGUGCCUGCGGAUAGCCGUUGAGUGGCCGUUGGCCGUGUAGGGCGGGUUUAGAGGGAGCGGGGCUAGAGAGCGAGAGAGAGAGAGAGAGAGAG